rnacentral:lncRNA from 1 species
AUGAUGAUUGACUAUGAGUGUCCCUCUCCAUUAGCCUGUGUGCCGGCUGGGAGGAGUGUGUGUGAGAGUGUGUUAGCACCACACACACACACACACGCAGCACACACACACACUCUAACGGCCAUGCCCCAGAGAUACUCCUACCAGAAGAGGAAAGCCAGCACGGCAGCAGCUCGGAGGAUGGAGAGGCGAGGCAUGGACACUGGGAAGACCAACAACACCAACACUAGCCACAGCCACCGCUCCAAGAAGCUAGCCAUGCUCUCCAGGUCCCUGAUCCUCUGUCACUCCAGAGCCAGUGAUGACUGCCCCAGCCCCGAAGAGAGACCGCCAGGGGAGGCCUGGAAGGGAGACGGGGGCUUGGGGAGAGAUGGGAAGGGGAACAGGGAGGUGGAGAGGUCCCAGAAGAAGAUCCAGGAAGGACCCCAGGAGAGUGGAGGAACUAUGCAGGCAUCUACACAGCCACCCGUAGGGGCCACCAACACACUCAGGGCUACAGGAGAACACAAGAGGAAUAUGAGGAGGUCCUUCAGUAUCAAGGAGAGCAGUAUCUGGAGGAUGUGUGUAACGACGGGGGCGGGUGAGGAGGGUCUGGGCCGACAGACUGGCGAUAGCAGCCCCCAGACGGAGGACAAAGAACCCAGUGUGGAGCGAGGGAGGAAGGGAGGAGGGGAUGGACACAGUUACCUUCAGAGUACAGACAAGCCUGCACCUUUUAACGGACAGUGUCUGAACGGCCAUGGCAGGACAGAGGGGGAGAGGCAGGCUAAGAACGGCCAUGCUGCAAGGACAGAGGGGGAGGGAGGGAGGCAGGCCGCCUCCAGGAACAGCCACAUAACAGCCUACAGUGAGGAAAGCUCAACAUGUGAGCAGCAGCCCCAGUCCCCUGGAGGUCUAACCCUGGCCCCCCUGCACUCGGCCCCCCUGUGCCUGGCAGACCCCCUGGCAGUGACCAACUACACAGAGACAGAACAAACUGGGAACAACAACCACCUCAAGUUGGCAAUCCCAGAGGUGAAUGAGGACAGAGGUUGGGACACAGAGAGGAGAGGACAUGGUCUUCAGGGACAGACAGUCUGCAAGAGGACCCGCUCCAACUCUACCAGUAACACACACACACACACGCGCGCACGCACGCACGCGCACACACGCACACACACACACACACGCACGCACACACGCACGCACGCACACACACACACACACACACACACACGCACACGCGCACGCACGCACGCACACGCACGCACACACGCACACACACACACACACACACACACACACACACACACCAAUAUGGGGCCUGUAAGGCAGUUGUCAUGA